GAUGAACGCUGGCGGCGUGCUUAACACAUGCAAGUCGAACGGAAAGGCCCAAGCUUGCUUGGGUACUCGAGUGGCGAACGGGUGAGUAACACGUGGGUGAUCUGCCCUGCACUUCGGGAUAAGCCUGGGAAACUGGGUCUAAUACCGGAUAGGACGAUGGUUUGGACGCCAUUGUGGAAAGUUUUUUCGGUGUGGGAUGAGCUCGCGGCCUAUCAGCUUGUUGGUGGGGUAAUGGCCUACCAAGGCGUCGACGGGUAGCCGGCCUGAGAGGGUGUACGGCCACAUUGGGACUGAGAUACGGCCCAGACUCCUACGGGAGGCAGCAGUGGGGAAUAUUGCACAAUGGGCGCAAGCCUGAUGCAGCGACGCCGCGUGGGGGAUGACGGCCUUCGGGUUGUAAACUCCUUUCGCUAGGGACGAAGCGUUUUUGUGACGGUACCUGGAGAAGAAGCACCGGCUAACUACGU
rnacentral:rRNA from 1 species